UCAGCAGCCGCGGUAAUACGUAGGUGGCAAGCGUUGUCCGGAAUUACUGGGUGUAAAGGGCGUGUAGGCGGGGCGGCAAGUCAGAUGUGAAAUACCGUGGCUUAACUGCGGGGGUGCAUCUGAAACUGUCGUUCUUGAGUGUCGGAGAGGAAAGUGGAAUUCCCAGUGUAGCGGUGAAAUGCGUAGAGAUUGGGAGGAACACCAGUGGCGAAGGCGGCUUUCUGGACGAUAACUGACGCUGAGGCGCGAAAGCGUGGGUAGCAAACAGGAUUAGAUACCCUGGUAGUCCACGCCGUAAACGAUGGAUACUAGGUGUAGGAGGUAUCGACCCCUUCUGUGCCGGAGUUAACACAAUAAGUAUCCCACCUGGGGAGUACGGCCGCAAGGUUGAAACUUAAAGGAAUUGGCGGGGGA
rnacentral:rRNA from 1 species